UACGUAGGGUGCGAGCGUUAAUCGGAAUUACUGGGCGUAAAGCGUGCGCAGGCGGUUCGUUGUGUCGGCGGUGAAAGCCCCGGGCUUAACCUGGGAAUGGCCGUUGAAACUGGCGAACUGGAGUGUGGCAGAGGGGGGUGGAAUUCCGCGUGUAGCAGUGAAAUGCGUAGAGAUGCGGAGGAACACCGAUGGCGAAGGCAGCCCCCCUGGGCUAACACUGACGCUCAGGCACGAAAGCGUGGGGAGCAAACAGG
rnacentral:rRNA from 1 species